AGUGAACGCUGGCGGUAGGCCUAACACAUGCAAGUCCAACGGCAGCACAGUAAGAGCUUGCUCUUACGGGUGGCGAGUGGCGGACGGGUGAGGAGUACAUCGGAAUCUACUUUUUCGUGGGGGAUAACGUAGGGAAACUUACGCUAAUACCGCAUACGACCUACGGGUGAAAGCAGGGGAUCUUCGGACCUUGCGCGAUUGAAUGAGCCGAUGUCGGAUUAGCUAGUUGGCGGGGUAAAGGCCCACCAAGGCGACGAUCCGUAGCUGGUCUGAGAGGAUGAUCAGCCACACUGGAACUGAGACACGGUCCAGACUCCUACGGGAGGCAGCAGUGGGGAAUAUUGGACAAUGGGCGCAAGCCUGAUCCAGCCAUACCGCGUGGGUGAAGAAGGCCUUCGGGUUGUAAAGCCCUUUUGUUGGGAAAGAAAAGCAGCAGGUUAAUACCCCGCUGUUCUGACGGUACCCAAAGAAUAAGCACCGGCUAACUUCGUG
rnacentral:rRNA from 1 species